rnacentral:rRNA from 1 species
GUGGGGAAUCUUAGACAAUGGGGGAAACCCUGAUCUAGUCAUGCCGCGUGAGCGAUGAAGGCCUUAGGGUUGUAAAGCUCUUUCAGCUGGGAAGAUAAUGACUGUACCAGCAGAAGAAGCCCCGGCUAACUCCGUGCCAGCAGCCGCGGUAAUACGGAGGGGGCUAGCGUUGUUCGGAAUUACUGGGCGUAAAGCGAACGUAGGCGGACCGGAAAGUCAGAGGUGAAAUCCCAGGGCUCAACCUUGGAACUGCCUUUGAAACUCCUGGUCUUGAGGUCGAGAUAGGUGAGUGGAAUUCCGAGUGUAGAGGUGAAAUUCGUAGAUAUUCGGAGGAACACCAGUGGCGAAGGCGGCUCACUGGCUCGAUACUGACGCUGAGGUGCGAAAGCGUGGGGAGCAAACAGGAUUAGAUACCCUUGUAGUCC